UACGUAGGUGGCAAGCGUUGUCCGGAUUUACUGGGCGUAAAGAGCGCGCAGGCGGUCGUUCAAGUCGCGUGUGAAAGCCCCCGGCUCAACUGGGGAGGGUCACGCGAUACUGAUCGACUCGAAGGCAGGAGAGGGGAGUGGAAUUCCCGGUGUAGUGGUGAAAUGCGUAGAUAUCGGGAGGAACACCAGUGGCGAAGGCGACUUCCUGGCCUGUUCUUGACGCUGAGGCGCGAAAGCUAGGGGAGCAAACGGG
rnacentral:rRNA from 1 species